rnacentral:rRNA from 1 species
UACGUAGGUGGCGAGCGUUGUCCGGAUUUACUGGGCGUAAAGCGCGCGCAGGCGGUUCGUUAAGUCCGGUGUGAAAGCUCCCGGCUCAACUGGGAGAGGUCAUUGGAUACUGGCGGACUCGAGGGAUGCAGAGGAAGGUGGAAUUCCCGGUGUAGUGGUGAAAUGCGUAGAGAUCGGGAGGAACACCGGUGGCGAAGGCGGCGACCUGGGUAGAGACUGACGCUGAGGCGCGAAAGCGUGGGGAGCGAUCCGG